AACGAACGCUGGCGGCAUGCCUAACACAUGCAAGUCGAACGAGACCUUCGGGUCUAGUGGCGCACGGGUGCGUAACGCGUGGGAACCUGCCCUUAGGUUCGGAAUAACUCCCCGAAAGGGGUGCUAAUACCGGAUAAUGUCUUCGGACCAAAGAUUUAUCGCCUUUGGAUGGGCCCGCGUUGGAUUAGCUAGUUGGUAGGGUAAAAGCCUACCAAGGCGACGAUCCAUAGCUGGUCUGAGAGGAUGAUCAGCCACACUGGGACUGAGACACGGCCCAGACUCCUACGGGAGGCAGCAGUGGGGAAUCUUGGACAAUGGGCGAAAGCCUGAUGCAGCAAUGCCGCGUGAGUGAUGAAGGCCUUAGGGUUGUAAAGCUCUUUUACCCGGGAUGAUAAUGACGGUACCGGGAGAAUAAGCCCCGGCUAACUCCGUG
rnacentral:rRNA from 1 species